rnacentral:rRNA from 1 species
CUGGUGAUUCAUGAUAACUCCUCGAAUCGCAUGGCCUUGUGCCGGCGAUGGUUCAUUCAAAUUUCUUCCCUAUCAACUUUCGAUGUUUGGGUAUUGGCCAAACAUGGUUGCAACGGGUAACGGAGGGUUAGGGCUCGACCCCGGAGAAGGAGCCUGAGAAACGGCUACUACAUCCAAGGAAGGCAGCAGGCGCGCAAAUUACCCAAUCCCGACACGGGGAGGUAGUGACAAUAAAUACUGAUACAGGGCUCUUUUGGGUCUUGUAAUUGGAAUGAGUACAAUUUAAAUCCCUUAACGAGGAACAAUUGGAGGGCAAGUCUGGUGCCAGCAGCCGCGGUAAUUCCAGCUCCAAUAGCGUAUAUUAAAGUUGUUGUGGUUAAAAAGCUCGUAGUUGAACCUUGGGCCUGGCUGGCCGGUCCGCCUCACCGCGUGUACUGGUCCGGCCGGGCCUUUCCCUCUGUGGAACCCCAUGCCCUUCACUGGGUGUGGCGGGGAAACAGGACUUUUACUGUGAAAAAAUUAGAGUGCUCCAGGCAGGCCUAUGCUCGAAUACAUUAGCAUGGAAUAAUAGAAUAGGACGUGUGGUUCUAUUUUGUUGGUUUCUAGGACCGCCGUAAUGAUUAAUAGGGACAGUCGGGGGCAUCAGUAUUCAAUUGUCAGAGGUGAAAUUCUUGGAUUUAUUGAAGACUAACUACUGCGAAAGCAUUUGCCAAGGAUGUUUUCAUUAAUCAGGAACGAAAGUUAGGGGAUCGAAGACGAUCAGAUACCGUCGUAGUCUUAACCAUAAACUAUGCCGACUAGGGAUCGGAC